CACACCGCAGUUAAGAAGCCUGUGUGACAGAUCAACUGGGGAGGAGAUCAACUGGUGACGGCAGCUGGAAAACCGCUGACUUUUGCAGAUGUGUUUGUGGGCGGGGCUUUUCAGGACCCCUCGCCUCAAACAGGAAGUAAACUGCGUGUAGACUCCAAGAACUACAAAUUAUUUUGUUAUCUGAUUGAUGCGAAAUACGUUGAGAUCUUAAGGAGUCACCAUCAGCAAGAGCCUCAGCGAUGAGAGAAAGAAUGAGUAGAAAAACCACAGAAAGCUGUAUGAGAAGUAAAAACAGCCAGUGCAAUAAAAGGUCAAUGGGAACAACUAACGGUGUAUUUUUCUGCAUUUUUCUGUCGUCCUGUAUAUCUUGUAAAUUAAAACGAGCGAAAAUAAAAUGUUCCUCUUUUUUUU